rnacentral:lncRNA from 1 species
UAUUUAUUUAUUUAUUUAUAUAACAGAUACUUGGGGGAAAUUGGACUUCCAUGUCCCUAUACUUUCCAAAAUGACAUAAUGAGCAUCAAUGACAGGGUAACAUCACAGCCCUGAGCCAUCAGAACAAAUUGCCAUUGCAGCCCAGCUGCGCGCACACAGAGUCUCUCACUGAUGAAGCCAGGAUCAAGAAUGCAAACCAAUGCGCGGCAGCACUUAGCAUUCAGCCUGCAUCGCUCAGACUGAAACGCACUGUGCUAAUGAGGAAGAGAGCUGAAUGCCACGAAAUCCCCGCUGUACUGGUUCUAAAAACAGCUGGAUGCCCUGAAAGAUGAAGGUGGACACGGGAGGCAAACAGCCAGAAGGUAUGGAGCUGGCUGAGUGAACAGUUGGGGUAGGUUCCCGAAGAGGAGAGCAGUGAGUAGUGGUGUGUGUGUGUGUGUGUGUGUGUGUGUGUGUGUGUAUACACUUCUGCCUCGAGGACCCAAAACUAAAAGUAGUCCCUGCUCUGCUGAGCCCCGUGGGAUGAAAGGUCUAGCUACAUCUGACCAAGGAAAACAGGGAAUUUCAUGAGUUCAAACAGCUGAGGAACCAAGGUCAUAGCUGUUCAUUGGCACAGCUGGGUCCAGAACCCCAAAGUGGCCAUCUGUUCCUUCCUCCAUUAUUUGAUCUCUGGCUUUCUCCCUGCAGGCUUCACCCACAGAUGACAGAUCUUUUCUAGCAUCGAAGAGGACUGAGCUUUUCCAGGGUCCCAUUCUAGCCUCUGGACCUGAGUCUUGGCAGCACUGACUGGUUACCUGCAAGCCACACAGUCAUCCCUUAACCUAUCACUGAAGUCAAAGAGAUGUGAUCUCCCGAUUGAUUGGCUUGGCCAGGUCACAUGCUCACCUCUGAGGUUGAAGUGAGAGAGAUUCCUGCAACAUUUCUGGAAGCCCCAGUGAGAUCUCCUUCUCCAUGGCCCCAUGGUAGAGACGGGCUGCUGCUCCCUGGUCUCUGAGAACACUAAAGUCUUCUGGAACUGAGAAGCACAAGGGGACUGCGGGACCAAGACCUGGAGUCUCUGGGAAACAUACAUCCUAAACAGGACUUCAGGGUCCUCUCCCAGUGGACAAGGGGACUGCGGGACCAAGACCUGGAGUCUCUGGGAAGCACACAUCCUAAACAGGACUUCAGGGUCCUCUCCCAGUGGACAAGGGGACUGCGGGACCAAGACCUGGAGUCUCUGGGAAGCACACAUCCUAAACAGGACUUCGGGGUCCUCUCCCAGUGGACAAGGGGACUGUGGGACCAAGACCUGGAGUCUCUGAGCGGAAGACCAGAUGAGACUGGGCUGGAUGUCCAGGCCAGGUAAAGACAAAAAAGGGAGAUAGGCAGGAAGAGCCAGCAAUGGCUAGAUCGCCUUGCAGGAUAUUAUAUCUGGAGCCUUGAAGGGAUACUCAGGUAGCACCGGUCCCCAAGGAAAAGGCCUUGAUGAGAUACUCAGGUGGAUUAGUCUUGGAAGAAAUAGACAGACUAAGCAUUUAAAAGGGGGAUGUAUAACUUCUAAGUGAAUGGUGAAUGACUGUGUAGGUGACUGUAAUGCUCCCGCAGCUCCGUGGCUACAGAAUUUGAUUGGGCCUCAACCUCAGAUCGGCUGAAGCCCUUUCAAAUGAACAGGCACUCCCACUCACAAUAGGAGGUGACCAAGUACAAGGUUAUACAUGUGGCUCUAAGGAAAGACCUCUGAAAUUGCCACAUGGUGUCUGGCCAGGCAGAUGCCUGCUUGAGGGAGAAGCUGGUCUCCACCUCACCCUAUUACUACACAGGGUUAGGCACACAUAAACUCCCCCAGUUUCCAGAUAGGGAAUUUUUCUCACCAUGGGAUUUGUAAAAUCCUGAUGUGAAACUCACACAAUCCUGCAAAGACCUUUGUGAUGGUUUGUAUAUCCUUGGACCAGGGAGUGGCACCAUCUGAAGGUGUGGCCUUGUUGGAAUAGGUGUGACCUGGUUGGAAUGGGUGUGUCACUGUGGGUGUGGGUAUAAGAUCCUCACCCUAGUUGCCUGGAAGUCAGUCUUCCACUAGCAGCCUUUGGAUGAAAACAUAGAACUCUCAGCUCCUCCUGCGCCAUGCCUGCCUGGAUGCUGCCAUGCUCCCACCUUGAUGAUAAUGGACUGAACCUCUGAACCUGUAAGCCAGCCCCAAUUAAAUGUUGUUUUUUAUAAGACUUGCCUUGGUCAUGGUGUCUGUUCACAGCAGUAAAACCUUAACUAAGACAACCUUUAAGCACAAAGACUCCAAGGAAGCACCCCCUUAGUGUCCCUGGAGGAUGAAAUCUUGCCCGUGGUGCUGUCUCCCUACCCUACUGGCUCCAGUUGUCAGCGCCACAUGGUGCCAAGGCAGCUGCAAGACUACCUGACCCUGUCCUUUCUACUGCCACUGAGGGAAAUGCCAGGCCCUCCCCUUAUCCAAGAAGGUGACAGCUAUGUUACCUGACCCUAAAUCUGGCCACAUAUUUGCCAGGAGGGAGAGCCCUUCCACGAUUGUGGAGAAACUAUAAAAGUGAUUUUUUUUUCCCUCACAGUCAGAUUUAAAGGUCAAGCUACUUCCCAAUGCAGGUAUGGAACUUUUACCAGUCCUAGUGACCUGAAAUGGAGCCCUAGUACCACAUGGUAGAAGGAAAGAAA